GACGAACGCUGGCGGCGUGCCUAACACAUGCAAGUCGAGCGAGUAGAGUUCUUCGGAACAAAGCUAGCGGCGGACGGGUGAGUAACACGUGGGCAACCUGCCUCAGAGGUGGGAAUAGCCUCCCGAAAGGGAGAUUAAUACCGCAUAAGAUUGUAGCUUCGCAUGAAGUAGCAAUUAAAGGAGCAAUCCGCUAUGAGAUGGGCCCGCGGCGCAUUAGCUAGUUGGUGAGGUAACGGCUCACCAAGGCGACGAUGCGUAGCCGACCUGGGAGGGUGAUCGGCCACAUUGGGACUGAGACACGGCCCAGACUCCUACGGGAGGCAGCAGUGGAGAAUAUUGCACAAUGGGGGAAACCCUGAUGCAGCAACGCCGCGUGAGUGAUGACGGCCUUCGGGUUGUAAAGCUCUGUCUUCAGGGACGAUAAUGACGGUACCUGAGGAGGAAGCCACGGCUAACUACGUGCCAGCCGCCGCGGUAACAC
rnacentral:rRNA from 1 species